rnacentral:rRNA from 1 species
CACGAAGUUGGAAUUGCUAGUAAUCGCGAAUCAGAAUGUCGCGGUGAAUGCGUUCCCGGGUCUUGUACACACCGCCCGUCACACCAUGGAAGUUGGGGGUGCCCAAAGCCGGCAAGCAAAUAUGCUGUCUAAGGCAAAACCAAUGACUGGGGUGAAGUCGUAACAAGGUAUC